rnacentral:rRNA from 1 species
CUACGGGUGGCAGCAGUGGGGAAUAUUGGACAAUGGGGGAAACCCUGAUCCAGCAAUGCCGCGUGUGUGAAGAAGGCCUGCGGGUUGUAAAGCACUUUCGGUUGGGAGGACUGCUUCUAGCACUAAUAUUGUUGGAAGUUGACGUUACCUUCAGAAGAAGCACCGGCUAACUCCGUGCCAGCAGCCGCGGUAAUACGGAGGUGCAAGCGUUAAUCGGAAUUACUGGGCGUAAAGCGCGCGUAGGCGGCUAGAUCAGUCGGGUGUGAAAGCCCCGGGCUUAACCUGGGAACUGCAUCCGAUACUGUCUAGCUUGAGUACAGGAGAGGAGAGUGGGAUUCCACAUGUAGCGGUGAAAUGCGUAGAUAUGUGGAGGAACACCAAUGGCGAAGGCAGCUCUCUGGCUUGAUACUGACGCUGAGGUGCGAAAGCGUGGGUAGCAAACAGGAUUAGAUACCCGCGUAGUC